UCAGGCACGUGUAUAGAAUUUGCUUUCUGCUGUCAACAGAGGACGUUUCAUUUAUUUAUCGAAACAAUACAUUAUUCAGGUGGAAAUACAACGCUUAUUUGUCAUGCGAAGUGUGUUUUACUGUCGUCAUGACUGACAUACAUUUACCAGGCAGUGAUAUUAAGCUACUUUGACCCAUAAAACCACAGCGUUCAUGUGUAAACUAAGCUAAUUUAACCUUAUUUAUUUGUAAUGGCUGUCCUCUCUUCUUUGCUGUGUUCACCUGCUCGUUACAUUUCACCAUUUCGGUUACGAUUAUGGGAUUUCUCUCCUUGCAAAAGGAGAACAUGGCUCUUCUUGUCCAUCCAACGCUGUUACUCAUCGGACAAUUCAAACUCACCAGAUCAUCAUCGCAGCUCUGGACUCGAGAGGUACAAGGACUUACAGAAGUAUUUCAACAGGAGACUGAAGGCAGCACACCACAGGUUCUCCCACAUACCUGAUCACUCAUUGGUCUGUGGCCAUAACCAUGUGUAUUUCAUUGAGGGGGAUGGGAUCUACAGAGUGGACCAAAGACAAAGUGACCCAGAACCAGAGCAGGUGCUACAUCUAGGACAAGUCUCUAGGCAGGAGGAGAAGACAGGUCUUAUUAAUGAAGAAAGGAUUCAGUGGAUUGUCCAGAGAAUACGUCUGUCCCCUCAGGAGAAGCAUCUUGCUGCCGCACUAAAAACUACUGACACAGAAGAGCCUAGGUGUGUGGUUGUGAGGCUUCGAAAGAGAAACUCUCCUCCUCCUCCUGAUCCCCAACACAUUGUACUCACACUGGACAAAGUCUUCAGCUUUGAGUGGGCCACAGACGAUGUCCUGUUCUACACAACUCUGGAGGCUCUGCGCUGCAGUAAAGUGUUUCGAUUGGACCUGACCUCCAAAGAAAGUAGGAUCUCUUCUGUGUUUGAGGAAACACAUCCUGAUGUGUUUGUGGAGGUCGCUCUUUCCAGAGACCGACAGAUGCUGAGCAUCAACGGCAACAGCAGGAGCAGCUCAGAGGUUCUGCUAAUUGAUGGAACGACUUCCCAUCUAGAGCCUUUCCUGGUUCAGUCACGGCAGCCGGACCUCCUGUACCAUGUGGAGCACUGGAGAGAGUCUCUGGUUAUACUGGCUAAUACAGGGCCUGGGAAAGAAUAUCAGGUGUUGCAGUCCCCUCUCUCAAAGCCCUCCAUGGCCUCCUGGGUGCCUUUGUUUGCCCCUUACUCCGGCACUGUUAUCAAAGACAUGGACGUGAUCGGAGACCACUGUGUGUUGGUGGCUAGAACAGCAGCCGGUGGACUCGUUCUUAUCGUAGUCUCGCUGACCAAUCCCAAGGAGGCAUACACUGUACAGCUCCCCUCCUGGGCCUGUACCAUCCAAACGAAGAAACCAGGCAUGGGAGACCGAGGCAGUGUGUUGGAGUUCUUGAUUUCAUCUCCAGUCCACACCCCAAUGCCGUACAGUCUGUCCCCUGAAGAUGGGCUACUUUUAUCAGGCUUCAAAGAUGGUUCCUCCCCAGGGGCCCAGGGCAGAAUUACCACCACCCGCUUAGAGGCCUGCAACCAAGAUGGUACCUUGGUGCCAGUGACCCUGUUUCACUCAGGACCUGUGGGGGGUUUGAGACAGGCUCCUCUACUCGUCCAUGUCUACGGAGCUUAUGGCAGAGAUCUCAACAUGGAGUUCUGCCCAGAGAAAAGGCUUCUGCUAGAGCAAGGCUGGACUCUGGCCUUCUGCCACAUCAGAGGUGGAGGAGAGCGAGGUCUCUUCUGGCACCGACAGGCUGGUGUUGAGGGGAAGCAGAGAGGAGUGGAGGACCUGCGAGCCUGUCUCCGUCACCUCUUCUCUUCAGGAGUCUCCUCUCCUUCUCUCACCGCCCUCACAGCCUGCAGCGCGGGGGCUGUGGCCGUGGGAGCGCUGUGUAACACACACACACACAUGAUGCGAGCUGUCACACUGCAGGCUCCUUUCCUGGAUGUGUUGGGAACAAUGGAGGACCCCAGCCUGCCUCUAACUUUGGAGGAUAGAGAAGAAUGGGGGGACCCAGUUGGAAACCCAGAACAUAGACUCAUCAUCUCCUCCUACUGUCCCCUUCACAACAUAACCCCUCAGCUAGUGUUACCCAUCGAUGCUGCUGACGGCCUACAGCGGUGAUGCCAGGGUUCCUCUGGCAGGUGUCCUCAAAUACACCGAGCUGCUAAAAAAGGCCAUCCAUACACACUUCACCUUGAAUCCAAAAUCAGAAUAUGAACCAGCACCAAACAUAGUUCUGAAUAUCCAACCUGGAGAAAAUCACCUCGGACCAGAAGACUUUGAGCUGAUGCUGGAGGAGGAAGCCCUCAGGCUAGCAUUCCUUUACACAGAGCUGGGCCUGGAGCCUCCUCGGCCCCAACGCAAGAGGAGGAGAUAACACUGCUAUCAGGAGCCAGGAAUCAAACAAAUACCAUUACUACAACAACUCUGAUGACACUUACUGCCUAAUCUUUAACAACACCAAUGAAAGAGAAGACAACAGUGGAUGUAUCUGCAAUCCUCUUUAUUACACGCUAUGAAUCCCUUACAGAGGAGACCCCAAAGAAGAAUCUUGAUGAUGCGUUUUAGCAUUUAUAAAGUAUGUCCACGGCACUUAAAUAGCAGGCCUUCUCGGAGACGUAGCACUGGUCAGGGUGGGUGGGGUUAAACCGGGUGUGGGUGGAGUACUGGAUAAGCAAACCCUCUCCUACCUCUGUGGGGAUGUGAGACUUUUGUAACACCUUGCCGCUGUUGACUUGUUUUGUGCUCAUCAGCACCUUCAGCUGGUCCGGUAGCUCCCUGAUCGAGGAGAGGUCUGUGAUGGCAGAUUCUUUACCAAAGUUUAGCACCAUGAGGAAAGCUCGGCCCAGCCCUUCUAGCUCUCUGAGGUAAGAGAAGACGUUAGCGUCGGCGUGGACGUAGCAGAACCAGCCGCGGUGCAGGGGCAGCUCCGACUGACGCAGGGUGCUCAGGAAACGGUACUGAGCCAGGACAGAACCUGGCUCUUUCUUCUGGACCUAGAGGAGAACGAUUGGCAAGAAGACACAUGGUGUAAAAGAAAAUUAUCGUGAGCAAGCUCUGGCCAGAUGUUUCUCCAGAGAUUAAAGAGUUCUGUACCUCCACAUUGACGCUACUGUAGUCAGGAUGAACAGGCAACCAGGUGAUGUUGCUUUUGGUGUUAAAGCCUGCGUUUAUGUCAUCACUCCACUGCAUAGGGGAGCGCUGGGGGUCCCGACUGGCACUCUGCAGCAAGAGGAAUCAGUUUAGCACAUCAGCUUCUAGUGACAAUAAAUAUAUGUAUCUAUAUGAAAAUAUAAAUCAAAUCAAAAACCUGCAAUAAAUCCUACCAUCGUUGAAAUCGUUACACAGAGGCAGUGAUUUAACUUAUUGGCUUUUUCCAGGCUGUUUGUUAUGUUGAAGAGAUUUAUAUUAAAGUUGAAGUCCACACACA